rnacentral:lncRNA from 1 species
GCAGGAUGGAAACGUGAGAUGUCCCCCCUGGGAAAGGUGUAGCACUUAACGUUGGAGCUGAGAGAGGCACGAAGCAGCGGUGACGUCUCUGUUGGCAACGUUGUCCCGUCUCCACCAGAGCCCUCCAGCGAAGUUUUCCUCCUCUCCCCUCCUACACCCGCGCUCUCCUGCCAACACCGCGCCCUUCUGGCAGCUUCAGAGACGAAAUCGGUGGCGCUGAGCAGCUCCAACCUCUGGGCGGUGAGGUCGGCACAGGCGAAGUUGUUGAGCAGGGCGCCGUACUUCUGCUCGCACAGCAUUGCGGAGCGCACUGCCGGCCAGAGCUCCUGCAGCUGCAGGCUGUACGUGGUGUCGAAGUGGUGCAGCGCCAGGCGUGGGGCCGGGAUGCGCGGGGCGGUGGUGGCCCACUUCUUCUUGUAGAGGUACCGCCGAGGCACCGGGCUCAGCCCCGGCACACGACCGACCCGCAGCAGCACCGCCGCCCGCCCGCUCGGUGCCGCCAUGGCUGAGCUCAGCAGCGCCUUCCGGGGCGGGACCGGAGCUGCCAGCACUGCC